AUUGAACGCUGGCGGCAGGCCUAACACAUGCAAGUCGAGCGGAUGAGAGGAGCUUGCUCUUCGAUUCAGCGGCGGACGGGUGAGUAAUGCCUAGGAAUCUGCCUAGUAGUGGGGGACAACGUUUCGAAAGGAACGCUAAUACCGCAUACGUCCUACGGGAGAAAGUGGGGGAUCUUCGGACCUCACGCUAUUAGAUGAGCCUAGGGCGGAUUAGCUAGUUGGUAGGGUAACGGCCUACCAAGGCGACGAUCCGUAAUUGGUCUGAGAGGAUGAUCAGUCACACUGGAACUGAGACACGGGCCAGACUCCUACGGGAGGCAGCCGUGGGGAAUAUUGGACAAUGGGCGAAAGCCUGAUCCAGCCAUGCCGCGUGUGUGAAGAAGGCCCUCGGGUCGUAAAGCACUUUAAGUUGGGAGGAAGGGCUUACAGCGAAUACCUGUGAGUUUUGACGUUACCGACAGAAUAAGCACCGGCUAACUUCGUGCCAGCCGCCGCCGUAA
rnacentral:rRNA from 1 species